rnacentral:rRNA from 1 species
UACGGGGGGGGUAAGCGUUGUUCGGAAUUACUGGGCGUAAAGGGCUCGUAGGCGGCCAACUAAGUCAGACGUGAAAUCCCUCAGCUUAACUGGGGAACUGCGUCUGAUACUGGAUGGCUUGGAUUCGGGAGAGGAAUGCGGAAUUCCAGGUGUAGCGGUGAAAUGCGUAGAUAUCUGGAGGAACACCAAUGGCGAAGGCAGCUCGCUGGGACGUUACUGACGCUGAGACGCGAAAGCGUGGGGAGCAAACAGG